rnacentral:lncRNA from 1 species
CAACGCUGAGCGGGCUGCAGAGGGACCUGACAGGCGUUUCCCAGUCCCUCACCUUGCAGGCUCCUCACACCCCAUGUGGCUGUCCUGGUUGGCACCCGGCAACUUGGCUAACCGGGGCUUCUGUCCAGAAUAUCGUUUCCAAUGUGGUUUUGGUUUAAGUUGGCCACAAGAGAGAUUAGAGUGAGUUUUGGGAGGUGGAAGCAAGGCAGUGGCCCUUCCUCUCUGGUCCUCCUGGCUGGAUGCGAGAUAGGUGGAGACAGAGACGGCAGCAGGUCCCAGCUCCCACCACUCUCCUCCACUCAUGGUCCAGCUCUUCUUCACGACUUCUGACUCUGUUGACCGACAGUGGUCAGGUAGCACCAGGAGCCUGGGGAGGACCAUAGAGGCAGAAGCUCCCCUGGGCCCUUCAGGGGCUGCACCUCACGGCCUCACCUCGGUGGCCGGACAGGCCCGGCUUCUUGACUGGACUGAUAGGCGGCUCCUCUGCCCCUCGCUCUCCUUCCAGACCUUCACUUCUCCAGCUUUCUCCAUGGUUGGGUCCCAGGACAUGGACACCAGAGUGCAGCCUGCAGACGGGGAGAGCCAGGAGGACCAGCUGUGACCGCGACGUCCCUCACUCAGUAGCAUCACCAUCCUUUGAUGUCCCUGAGUCCCCGGCACCAUCCCUGUGCAGAAACAUGGGAUCUGCUACCUGCUAAUGCCUCUGGGUUGAGGGACACCUCAGUGAUGGAAGAGGUGGUCCCUCAUCCUUCCUCCUCCCACGGUGUCUGCGGGAAGUGGUCAUACUGUCUGCCCUUCCCUCUGGUGCUCCUUCUAAUCAAGCUGACUCCUCUCAUCCCGUCUCCUCUGGCCGGAAGAUUGCUCCUACUCCUUGGUCUGCUCUUGCUCCUGAGUUCAGUCCUUAAGCCUUACAGCCUGGGCAAAUAUAUCCUUAUUGGAGGGCGCUGCAACUGGCUCCCAGGCUCGGCCCCUUUGUGACGUGGGAAUGUCGUCAGGGGCUGCAAGGAUCAGCGAUCUGUUCAACUAACUGCAAAGCGUAAAAUGAUGGAGAAGCGUCCCCUUGUUGAUUAGUCUUCCAAUCUCCAGUCUCCCGAUUCUGAUGCUUUUAUUUGACUGGACCGUGAGAGGGCCAUCUGGGAAGAGGCUGUUGCGAUGGGCAUCAGGUGCAUCCCUUUGCAGCGUGUGUGAGGGACAGGGACAUUUAUGCCCCUGUCGCUGGAAUGCCACAGCCCUCUCACGUGAAGAUGAGCUACACGUGUGUCUCAUGGACGGCGCCUGUCCCUUCACAUGUGCUGUGAGGAGAUGGGGUCUAAGAAUCAUCAGGUUGCGUUAUUGACCUUCAGUGAAUCUGGGAUCUCAUGUUCUGACAUCCUACUGAAGUGAAUUUGUGUUCAUGUUCCCAGAGACUUUCUGAAAGGCCCAACCUACUAAAUGACGUCUGUGUAAUUCUGGGUAUGUGAAUCCCGUGGGUGACGCUCUUUGAAAUGUGGUCCCUACUCUCUCCAUCGAGGCACCUGAACCAAACAAGACACUAUUCGAAGUGCUUUUUAGAUGCCAUUUGCUGGGGGCAGGUGUCAUAGUUGUGGACGCCAUUUCCACUCCAGAAGGAGGAGAAGAGCCUUCAAUAUCCUGAAAUGCUCUGGGUCAGGGAGUCUGGGGGCCAUUCACAGAUCCUGUGUCUUAUCAUCUAAGUCGCAUUGGCUCCUGGACCACGUCUGGCUUUUCUUUCUUGGUGCCUGUCCCUCUUAGGAUUGCUUCCUUCCUGGACUCCCUCUACCCUGGUGAUGUUGCUUAGCGUAAGCUGGGCUGGCCUUCUCCUUAGGGGACCCUCAUAUUGGCGUGGGCUGGCUUGGGCCAGAACUACUCUCUGCCACCUGUGUGACAAGCGCC